AGUGAACGCUGGCGGUAGGCCUAACACAUGCAAGUCGAGCGGCAGCACAGUAAGAGCUUGCUCUUACGGGUGGCGAGUGGCGGACGGGUGAGGAAUACAUCGGAAUCUACUUUUUCGUGGGGGAUAACGUAGGGAAACUUACGCUAAUACCGCAUACGAACUACGGGUGAAAGCAGGGGAUCUUCGGACCUUGCGCGAAUGAAUGAGCCGAUGUCGGAUUAGCUAGUUGGCGGGGUAAAGGCCCACCAAGGCGACGAUCCGUAGCUGGUCUGAGAGGAUGAUCAGCCACACUGGAACUGAGACACGGUCCAGACUCCUACGGGAGGCAGCAGUGGGGAAUAUUGGACAAUGGGCGCAAGCCUGAUCCAGCCAUACCGCGUGGGUGAAGAAGGCCUUCGGGUUGUAAAGCCCUUUUGUUGGGAAAGAAAAGCAGCAGGUUAAUACCCCGCUGUUCUGACGGUACCCAAAGAAUAAGCACCGGCUAACUUCGUG
rnacentral:rRNA from 1 species